rnacentral:rRNA from 1 species
CUACGUGCCAGCAGCCGCGGUAAUACGUAGGUCCCGAGCGUUGUCCGGAUUUAUUGGGCGUAAAGCGAGCGCAGGCGGUUUGAUAAGUCUGAAGUUAAAGGCUGUGGCUCAACCAUAGUUCGCUUUGGAAACUGUCAAACUUGAGUGCAGAAGGGGAGAGUGGAAUUCCAUGUGUAGCGGUGAAAUGCGUAGAUAUAUGGAGGAACACCGGUGGCGAAAGCGGCUCUCUGGUCUGUAACUGACGCUGAGGCUCGAAAGCGUGGGGAGCGAACAGGAUUAGAUACCCUGGUAGUCCACGCCGUAAACGAUGAGUGCUAGGUGUUGGAUCCUUUCCGGGAUUCAGUGCCGCAGCUAACGCAUUAAGCACUCCGCCUGGGGAGUACGACCGCAAGGUUGAAACUCAAAGGAAUUGACGGGGGCCCGCACAAGCGGUGGAGCAUGUGGCUUAAUUCGAAGCAACGCGAAGAACCUUACCAGGUCUUGACAUCCCGAUGCUAUUUCUAGAGAUAGAAAGUUA